rnacentral:lncRNA from 1 species
GAGAGAUAGUUUGUUCUAGUAGUUCUUUUUAUAUUGUUAUAACUAUAUUGUUAAUUAUUUCUCUCCAUUAGUUUCUUUUCAUAAGUUAUAUUUAUCUAAACCCGGUGUGAAUGAGUGGAGGAGAAGUGAAACAACUGGCAACCUACGACCUCGAACGCCACUCUACUCACCUGACAUGCUUUUUGGCUACCUGCUGCGGCAGAGUACGAACCUGCCAUAGCUCCAUCACGUCGAGGGAAAAUUUGUCCGAUCAUUGCCGAAGGGGUAUGGCGUGGACCGAUAUUGUCACUUCAU